UACGUAGGGUGCAAGCGUUGUCCGGAAUUAUUGGGCGUAAAGAGCUCGUAGGCGGUCUGUCGCGUCUGCUGUGAAAACUCAGGGCUUAACCCUGAGCUUGCAGUGGGUACGGGCAGACUAGAGUGCGGGAGGGGAGACUGGAAUUCCUGGUGUAGCGGUGGAAUGCGCAGAUAUCAGGAGGAACACCGAUGGCGAAGGCAGGUCUCUGGGCCACUACUGACGCUGAGAAGCGAAAGCAUGGGGAGCGAACAGG
rnacentral:rRNA from 1 species